rnacentral:rRNA from 1 species
CAAGUCGAGGGGCAGCAUGGUCUUAGCUUGCUAAGGCCGAUGGCGACCGGCGCACGGGUGAGUAACACGUAUCCAACCUGCCGACAACACUGGGAUAGCCUUUCGAAAGAAAGAUUAAUACCCGAUAGCAUAAUGAUUCCGCAUGGUUUCAUUAUUAAAGGAUUCCGGUAAAGGAUGGGGAUGCGUUCCAUUAGGCAGUUGGCGGGGUAACGGCCCACCAAACCGACGAUGGAUAGGGGUUCUGAGAGGAAGGUCCCCACAUUGGUACUGAGACACGGACCAAACUCC